rnacentral:rRNA from 1 species
UACGUAGGGACCGAGCGUUGUCCGGAAUCAUUGGGCGUAAAGAGCGUGUAGGCGGCCCCUUAAGUCCUGCGUGAAAUCCUGCGGCUCAACCGCAAACGGUCGUGGGAAACUGGAGGGCUAGAGUGCGGGAGAGGAGAGUGGAAUUCCCGGUGUAGCGGUGAAAUGCGCAGAUAUCGGGAAGAACACCCGUGGCGAAGGCGGCUCUCUGGAACGCAACUGACGCUGAGACGCGAAAGCGUGGGGAGCAAACAGG